CGGACUCUUCGGAGUUAGUGGCGCACGGGUGAGGAACACGUGGGAACAUACCCUUUGGUAGGGAAUAAUGUCUGGAAACGGACACUAAUACCCUAUAAUGACUUCGGUCCAAAGAUUUAUCGCCAAAGGAUUGGCCCGCGCAUGAUUAGAUAGUUGGUGAGGUAAUGGCUCACCAAGUCUACGAUCAUUAGCUGGUCUGAGAGGAUGAUCAGCCACACUGGAACUGAGACACGGUCCAGACUCCUACGGGAGGCAGCAGUGAGGAAUAUUGGACAAUGGGGGCAACCCUGAUCCAGCCAUGCCGCGUGAGUGAAGAAGGCCUUAGGGUUGUAAAGCUCUUUCAAUAGUGAAGAUAAUGACGGUAGCUAUAGAAGAAGCUCCGGCUAAAUUCGUGCCAGCAGCCGCGGUAAUACGAAUGGAGCAAGCGUUGUUCGGAAUCACUGGGCUUAAAGCGUGCGCAGGCGGACUUGAAAGUCGGGAGUGAAAUCCCAGGGCUCAACCCUGGAACUGCUUCCGAAACUCCAAGUCUAGAAUCCGAUAGAGGUUAGGGGAAUUCCUAGUGUAGAGGUGAAAUUCGCAGAUAUUAGGAGGAACACCAGUGGCGUAGGCGCCUAACUG
rnacentral:rRNA from 1 species